rnacentral:rRNA from 1 species
CAGUAGCCGCGGGAAUACGUAGGGUGCAAGCGUUAAUCGGAAUUACUGGGCGUAAAGCGUGCGCAGGCGGUUAUAUAAGACAGAUGUGAAAUCCCCGGGCUCAACCUGGGAACUGCAUUUGUGACUGUAUAGCUAGAGUACGGCAGAGGGGGAUGGAAUUCCGCGUGUAGCAGUGAAAUGCGUAGAUAUGCGGAGGAACACCGAUGGCGAAGGCAAUCCCCUGGGCCUGUACUGACGCUCAUGCACGAAAGCGUGGGGAGCAAACAGGAUUAGAUACCCGCGUAGUCCCUGUCUCUUAUAU